GUUAAAGUAAACAGACGAACCAAAAUGGUAACAAAAUAGUUUUGAAUUUAAAUAUUAGUUGAACAGUUUGUUUUACCUUUACGAUUACCAGAAUCUGAAUUUGCAGGAGUGCGAUGGCGAAGCUGAACCAGAACAGCAUCUACAAUGGGAAUCAUUAAAGCUGUUGUUGCUGUAUUACUGAUCCACAUGGAAAGGAACAUUGUAUUCAACAUGAAGCCCAGGAGAAGCCAUUUAGCAGCCAUCAAGGAGGCAAUAAAUAUCAUUAAGGUUUGCUGGAAUGGUUACACAGUGGUUUAACAAUGGGAACGAGUGUAAAUAUGUUUUAGUGAUAAUUAAGUUCACUUGAUUUUACGAGUCUCUACAUUCAGAGAUUGGUGAAGUAUUGACAACUUACAUUCAUAAAAGCUUGGCAAGCUUGUUCUGUACUGAGUAUUCCGAAUAAUGGAAACAAAACCAAUGGCAUCAGUGCUGUUAUCGCCAACGGAAUGGCUUCUGUUAUCCAAUAAGCCCCCAUAACGAGCAAAACAAAAGCUCCUCGAUUAACCUGCAAGCCAAAAAUAAAACACCAAGCAAAUCAGUUCAUGAUUCUUCUGAAAUCUUAUUUAAUCUUGAAGCUUCAAUAUUCGUGCCGAUCUAACCAACAACACAAAUUCAACCUAAGCCACAACAUUACGGUAUUGCCUGUUAUCAAUGUGUAAUUGGAGACUACAAUUGUGUUGUUACUUUCAAUAUCAACUUUUUUCAUGUCAAAACAAUUCGUAAAAUAAUCUGUUUUGAAUUACUGGUAAACAAUCAAUCAUUACAUUAGCUAUUCAAGUCGCUCAGACAAUCAAAACGCUGAAAUAAUUGUAAAAAUCAAUCAUUACCUAGAACUCAACCUUUGUUUGAUGCUUAUUUUGAAUACUAUUCAAUUUUAAUCAUCUUUUAUUUGCUAUAAAUAAUGUCUAAAUUUGUAUUUACAUUUUACUCUUUGUUUAUUGUAAAACAUGCUUUAAUCAUAUUAAUUCUGAUCACGUUUACGAGCAAUUAUUUACUUGUUUAUAUUGAUUAAUUAACACAUUAUUUUGAUACAAAAAAAGCAAUGGAAAUGAAGAGAUGAAAAUUAAAAAAGAGAAAUUGUUUAAAAUAGAAAAGCAAAAAAGUAGUUUAAAAAUUCACUAAAUUCACAUCAUAUACAUAAUCAAGUGUGAAUCAUGGAAUGCAUUAAAAUGUAUUUCGAUAUUGAAUCAGUUUCAGGGACAAUCAGAGUUUCAAUCUUAUUAAAUGUUUACCAAACCAUUGUAUGAUAACAAUUUAAAUUUUAUGCCUUACUUUUGACAGGAAAAGUAUGUUUUUUCAAAUCCAUCAAAUUGUAAAGUGAUUUGAGGAAACACAAAAGAUAUGUAAAUAAAUUGUAAACCAAGUAAA